UGAGCCAAGUUUGGUCCGCUUAACGGACUAUCAGACUUUAAACUGAAGAGUUUGAUCAUGGCUCAGAUUGAACGCUGGCGGCAGGCCUAACACAUGCAAGUCGAGCGGAAACGAUCCUAGCUUGCUAGGAGGCGUCGAGCGGCGGACGGGUGAGUAAUGCAUAGGAAUCUGCCCGGUAGUGGGGGAUAACCUGGGGAAACCCAGGCUAAUACCGCAUACGCCCUACGGGGG
rnacentral:rRNA from 2 species